rnacentral:lncRNA from 1 species
UUAUUUUUAAUUGGGGAAUAUAUAUUCGUUUAAGCAAUUAAGUUAGAUACCGAGUAGCUUAUUUAAGUUGGAUAACGAGUUAUAUAAAACGAUAUUGCUCAAUUUCAAUUACCGCUAGCAAGAUUCUUAAUGACUGUUUCAUCUGAAAAUCGUCGUCGCUAAAUCAUGGAUUUAUUUCCUUUCCUCACUAGUCAACCAAGAUAUUCCUUUCCUCACUCGUCAACCAAGAACAAGAAACAGGUUGGCUGAGCUUAUUUUCGAUGUCGUGUACCACUGACUUAACCUUCUUUAGAUUUUUUGUAUGUAUAAACAUAAAUCUUCUACUUUAAACAUUUUAAACACUAAUUUAAUAUUCUUUUUUGUGCAGAUCUUCUACAUGUCGUCGUUACCGGUCUCUUCACUUUCUGUAUCAAGAACGUUACUAUUCUUCUCGUCUAAGUUGGUUUUUAUUGUGACUUUUGAUUAUUCAUUGUCGAUUUUUUCCCCUUUCAAAUUGUGUAUUUUUUCUAAUUCAUUGUUCAUCUUUUGCUUGUUUUUUGAUAUGAAAUUUGUUGCAUUUUAUUGAAAUUAAUUUUAUUUAGAUUCUUGGAGUGGCU